UACGGAGGAUGCAAGCGUUAUCCGGAUUUAUUGGGUUUAAAGGGUGCGCAGGCGGACUAAUAAGUCAGUGGUGAAAUUUACAUGCUUAACAUGUAUCGUGCCAUUGAUACUGUUAGACUAGUAUACAAAUGACGUAGCUGGAAUGUGUUAUGUAGCGGUGAAAUGCAUAGAUAUAACACAGAACGCCGAUUGCGGAGGCAGGAUACUAGGCCAUUACUGACGCUGAGGCACGAAAGCGUGGGGAUCAAA
rnacentral:rRNA from 1 species